GACUUAAAGCUCAGUGGAAGAGCAUCUGUACCGGAAAUUAGAAGAUCCCGGGCUCGAAUCCCUGUCAAUACA